CCUACGGGGGACAGCAGUGAGGAAUAUUGGUCAAUGGGCGAGAGCCUGAACCAGCCAAGUCGCGUGAAGGAUGACGGCCCUACGGGUUGUAAACUUCUUUUGUCAGGGAGCAAUUGGGUCCACGCGUGGGCUUAUCGAGAGUACCUGAAGAAAAAGCAUCGGCUAACUCCGUGCCAGCAGCCGCGGUAAUACGGAGGUGGCAAGCGUUAUCCGGAUUUACUGGGUGUAAAGGGCGUGUAGGCGGGACUGCAAGUCAGAUGUGAAAACCAUGGGCUCAACCCAUGGCCUGCAUUUGAAACUGUAGGUCUUGAGUGUUGGAGAGGCAGGCGGAAUUCCGGGUGUAGCGGUGAAAUGCGUAGAUAUACGGAGGAACACCAGUGGCGAAGGCGGCCUGCUGGACAAUAACUGACGCUGAGGCGCGAAAGCGUGGGGAGCAAACAGGAUUAGAUACCCUAGUAGUC
rnacentral:rRNA from 1 species